CAGCCGCCGCGGUAAUACCGGCGGCCCGAGUGGCGGCCACUCUUAUUGGGCCUAAAGCGUCCGUAGCCGGGCUGGUAAGUCCCCCGGGAAAUCUGGCGGCUUAACCGUCAGAAUUCCGGGGGAUACUGCCAGCCUAGGGACCGGGAGAGGCCGGGGGUAUUCCCGGGGUAGGGGUGAAAUCCUGUAAUCCCGGGAGGACCACCUGUGGCGAAGGCGCCCGGCUGGAACGGGUCCGACGGUGAGGGACGAAGGCCAGGGGAGCGAACCGGAUUAGAUACCCGGGUAGUCCUGGCUGUAAACGAUGCGGACUUUGUGUCGGACAAGCUAUGAGCUUGUCCGGUGCCGGAGGGAAACCGUUAAGUCCGCCGCCUGGGGAGUACGGCCGCAAGGCUGAAACUUAAAGGAAUUGGCGGG
rnacentral:rRNA from 1 species